rnacentral:rRNA from 1 species
GACGAACGCUGGCGGCGUGCUUAACACAUGCAAGUCGAACGGAAAGGCCCUGCUUUUGUGGGGUGCUCGAGUGGCGAACGGGUGAGUAACACGUGAGUAACCUGCCCUUGACUUUGGGAUAACUUCAGGAAACUGGGGCUAAUACCGGAUAGGAGCUCCUGCUGCAUGGUGGGGGUUGGAAAGUUUCGGCGGUUGGGGAUGGACUCGCGGCUUAUCAGCUUGUUGGUGGGGUAGUGGCUUACCAAGGCUUUGACGGGUAGCCGGCCUGAGAGGGUGACCGGCCACAUUGGGACUGAGAUACGGCCCAGACUCCUACGGGAGGCAGGAGUGGGGAAUAUUGCACAAUGGGCGGAGGCCUGAUGCAGCAACGCCGCGUGCGGGAUGACGGCCUUCGGGUUGUAAACCGCUUUCGCCUGUGACGAAGCGUGAGUGACGGUAAUGGGUAAAGAAGCACCGGCUAACUACGU